rnacentral:rRNA from 1 species
GACGAACGCUGGCGGCGCGCCUAACACAUGCAAGUCGAACGAGCGAGAGAGAGCUUGCUUUCUCAAGCGAGUGGCGAACGGGUGAGUAACGCGUGAGGAACCUGCCUCAAAGAGGGGGACAACAGUUGGAAACGACUGCUAAUACCGCAUAAGCCCACAGCUCGGCAUCGAGCAGAGGGAAAAGGAGCAAUCCGCUUUGAGAUGGCCUCGCGUCCGAUUAGCUAGUUGGUGAGGUAAUGGCCCACCAAGGCAACGAUCGGUAGCCGGACUGAGAGGUUGAACGGCCACAUUGGGACUGAGACACGGCCCAGACUCCUACGGGAGGCAGCAGUGGGGAAUAUUGCACAAUGGGGGAAACCCUGAUGCAGCGACGCCGCGUGGAGGAAGAAGGUCUUCGGAUUGUAAACUCCUGUUGUUGAGGAAGAUAAUGACGGUACUCAACAAGGAAGUGACGGCUAACUACGUGCCAGCAGCCGCGGUAAAACGUAGGUCACAAGCGUUGUCCGAAAUUACUGGGUGUAAAGGGAGCGCAGGCGGGAAGACAAGUUGGAAGUGAAAUCUAUGGGCUCAACCCAUAAACUGCUUUCAAAACUGUUUUUCUUGAGUAGUGCAGAGGUAGGCGGAAUUCCCGGUGUAGCGGUGGAAUGCGUAGAUAUCGGGAGGAACACCAGUGGCGAAGGCGGCCUACUGGGCACCAACUGACGCUGAGGCUCGAAAGUGUGGGUAGCAAACAGGAUUAGAUACCCUGGUAGUCCACACCGUAAACGAUGAUUACUAGGUGUUGGAGGAUUGACCCCUUCAGUGCCGCAGUUAACACAAUAAGUAAUCCACCUGGGGAGUACGACCGCAAGGUUGAAACUCAAAGGAAUUGACGGGGGCCCGCACAAGCAGUGGAGUAUGUGGUUUAAUUCGACGCAACGCGAAGAACCUUACCAAGUCUUGACAUCCCUUGACGAACAUAGAAAUAUGUUUUCUCUUCGGAGCAAGGAGACAGGUGGUGCAUGGUUGUCGUCAGCUCGUGUCGUGAGAUGUUGGGUUAAGUCCCGCAACGAGCGCAACCCUUACUGUCAGUUACUACGCAAGAGGACUCUGGCAGGACUGCCGUUGACAAAACGGAGGAAGGUGGGGAUGACGUCAAAUCAUCAUGCCCUUUAUGACUUGGGCUACACACGUACUACAAUGGCGUUAAACAAAGAGAAGCAAGACCGCGAGGUGGAGCAAAACUCAGAAACAACGUCCCAGUUCGGACUGCAGGCUGCAACUCGCCUGCACGAAGUCGGAAUUGCUAGUAAUCGUGGAUCAGCAUGCCACGGUGAAUACGUUCCCGGGCCUU